rnacentral:rRNA from 1 species
CCUACGGGGGGCUGCAGUGAGGAAUAUUGGUCAAUGGGCGCGAGCCUGAACCAGCCAAGUAGCGUGAAGGAUGACUGCCCUACGGGUUGUAAACUUCUUUUAUAAAGGAAUAAAGUGAGGCGCGAGUGCCUUUUUGGAUGUACUUUAUGAAUAAGGAUCGGCUAACUCCGUGCCAGCAGCCGCGGUAAUACGGAGGAUCCGAGCGUUAUCCGGAUUUAUUGGGUUUAAAGGGAGCGUAGAUGGGUUGUUAAGUCAGUUGUGAAAGUGUGCGGCUCAACCGGAAAAUGGCAAUUGAUACUGGCAGCCUUGAGUAGAGUAGAGGUAGGCGGAAUUCGAGGUGUAGCGGUGAAAUGCUUAGAUAUCACGAAGAACUCCGAUUGCGAAGGCAGCCUACUAAACUGCCACUGACAUUGAUGCUCGAAAGUGUGGGUAUCAAACAGGAUUAGAUACCCCAGUAGUC